rnacentral:rRNA from 1 species
AUUGAACGCUGGCGGCAGGCCUAACACAUGCAAGUCGAGCGCGAAAGUUCUUCGGAAUGAGUAAAGCGGCGGACGGGUGAGUAAUGCAUGGGAAUCUGCCUGGUAGUGGGGGACAACGUUUCGAAAGAGACGCUAAUACCGCAUACGCCCUACGGGGGAAAGGGGGGGAUCUUCGGACCUCUCGCUAUCAGAUGAGCCCAUGUCAGAUUAGCUUGUUGGUGAGGUAAAGGCUCACCAAGGCGACGAUCUGUAACUGGUCUGAGAGGAUGAUCAGUCACACUGGAACCGAGACACGGUCCAGACUCCUACGGGAGGCAGCAGUGGGGAAUAUUGGACAAUGGGCGAAAGUCUGAUCCAGCCAUGCCGCGUGUGUGAAGAAGGCCUUAGGGUUGUAAAGCACUUUCAGUGGGGAGAAAGGUUAUUCACCUAAUACGUGAGUAAAUUGAUGUUACCCACAGAAGAAGCACCGGCUAACUCCGUGCCAGCCGCCGCAGUAAUAC